AUGGACCGAGAGAUUUCCUGGAGGGAAGAUGUGGAAGAGACCCACAAGAGAGAUGUUCCAGGAGCCCAAGAAAUGUCCCGGCAGGGAGCCAGGAGCGGCCAAGAGCUGUACCAAGGCCAGGUACGUGUGAGAGCCGAGCCGGCAGCUGCUGCCCCGGCUGGAGCUGCUGAGGAGGAGGAGGAGCCAGGGUGGGCAGUGUUGGCGCUGGCAGGGCCAGUGCAGUCACAGCACUGGAGCCUGGAGGCCUUGGCUCCGGACAGCGACUGGGAUUCUGAUAGUGAGGAGGAGAGCCCGGUGCCUGCCCCACACAGCACCCCCAGCCCCUCAUCUGCCCCGCUGGGAGCCCAGGCCCCCUGGGAGGAGCCGGAGUGGGCAGUGUUGGCGCUGGCAGGGCCAGUGCUGUCACAGAACUGGAGCCUGGAGGCCUUGGCUCCGGACAGCGACUGGUCAUCCAACAGUGACGAAGAGGAAGGAGAAGUGGAGCCAGAGCUGUCCCAGGGGACAGUCUCGCUCAUCCAAGAACUGUCCCAGGAGGAGGACGAUGUGAGCUCCAGCUCUGGGGAGAAGCCUGUGGGCCCAGUGAAGGAGGGGGACACCCAGCCUUGUCCCCCAGAGGGGCCCAGCUCUGCCAGCCCCGUGGGCACAGAGGUGGCAGCAGAGGCAGCCCCUGCCCUGCCCAGCGCCUCUCCUGCCCCACAGAGUCCCACGGAGGCCGAGCCGGCAGCUGCUGCCCCGUCCGGAGCUGCUGAGGAGGCAGCAGCGGGGUCAGGGCUGGCAGUGCAGGAGAGGACGGAUGACGACGAUGACGAAAUGAAAUUCUGGCAAUACUUGGAUGACCUGGCGCCUUUCCUGGUUGGAGACCCAGAGCUGUCCCAGGAAGCGUCCUACUAUGAACAAUACAGAGAGGAAGAUCUGCCCCAUGGUGUAGUCAUGAGUUAUCACCAGCUCUUUGACUGGGAAAAAUAUUUGGAGCAAGACCUGUCCCAGGGAGAAGUCAGCAGCUCCCAAGGCCCCUCGGACUGGGAAGAAUACCCUGAGCAAGUGCUGUGCGGAGGAGAUGUCAUCAGCUGUGCAGAACUAUCCGACUGGGAAGAACACCUUGGCCAGAAGGUGUCCAGAGGGAAUGGCAGCAGACCCUCAGGACUCUCCAGCUGGGAAGACAACAGUGACACGGGGCUCGUGCAGGAGAACUGGCCCCAGCACGUCAUCUUGGCCAAGCCCUUGUGCCCCGAGGACGAUGAGUGGGACGAUGUGAGCCUCCUGGAGCUGCCCCCAGAAGACGGCAAACACCAGAAAAGGAAAGUUUUAGUGGCAGAGGGGCUCCCAGUGCCCGUCCCUCGGGAGGCCUGGGCUGAGUGCCCGGCACAGGAGCCGUGCAGCCAAGGGCCGGCGCCUGCCCCGCACAGCCCCCCCAGCCCCUGGCCUGCCCGGCUGGGAGCCCAGGCCCUCCGCGGGCAGCCGGCUGCCCCCGGGAAACGUCCCUCCCGCUUCAGGCGGGCGCUGCGGGCGCUGCGGGGGCUGUUCCGCUGUCCCUGCCUCAGGCCAUGCACCGAGGAGUAAAACGGGCACGGAAAAGGGUGAAGAGCAUGAAGAGAAGGAAGGUGAAGAACAGGAAGUUGAAGAUGACCGCUCCUGCCAGUCCCGCUCCUCUGUGUCGGAGCAGCAGCUGUUCGGCUCGGCUCGAGGGGCUCAGAGAUUGCUGCUGCAGCUCCUCCAAAUCUGGGAAGAGAAAAGCCUUUGGAUGGGCCAGGCAAGCCAAGCAAAGCCCAACCAGGCAGAGCCAUGAGGACCUGGGCAGUGAGGCUUGGAAAAUGCCCACCCAAAGAGCCCAAAGCUCCCCCAUCCCUGCCCCGCACACACCCGGCCCCGGGCUGGAAGGUGCAGCAACCAUUUCUUGGGCACAAAGCAGAGGCUCCUGGAACAGACUCUCAGCACAAACCCCUCCGGGACAACGGCAAAGAAGACAAAGACAAGGAUGAAGACAAUGACACUGAAAAAAAAUGAAGAAGAUGAAGACGACCUAUCAGAUGAAGAAGACGAAGACCGUGAAGAAGAUGAAGACAAAUAGGAUGGAGAAGAUAGCAAAGAGGAAGAAGACAAAGAUGAAGACUAAAAAGACACGACGGAGAACGUUUAUUUAAGAAUAGAUAGAAGAAGUAUAGGAAUAAGAAUUUCGAGAUACUUAGAAGAAGAGUACUAGGAAUAGGAAUAAGAAUUUCAAAAUAUGUAGAAGAAGAAUAGGAAUAGGAAUAAGGAUUUUAAAAUAUGUAGAAGAAGAAGAAAAAUAAGAAUAAGAAUAGAAAUAAGAAUAUAAAAAUACAUAGAAGUAGCAAAGAAGUAUAGUAAGAGUAGGAAGAAGAAGAAGAACCAUAAGAAGAAUAAGAAUUGAUGUAUGAAGAGAAAAUAUAAGGAAUAAGUAAAAUUAGCACAUAAUUUCUUUUUAUUACAUAUUGUAUAAUCCUAUUACAGUUAUGAAAUAAAAACA
rnacentral:lncRNA from 1 species